GAGGAUUUGCCGCCGGGCAAUUGUCUUUGAUUCACUCCAUUAGGCCAAUGAAGGAGUGAGGAGAAGCCUUUUUUUAUG
rnacentral:ncRNA from 1 species